UACGUAGGAGGCGAGCGUUGUCCGGAGUUACUGGGCGUAAAGGGUGCGCAGGCGGCGGUUCGCGUGGCGAGAUGAAAUCUCCUGGCUUACCUGGGAGGAUGGUCGCCAGACGGGAUCGCUUGAGGGUCGGAGAGGGGCGUGGAAUUCCGGGUGGAGCGGUGAAAUGCGUAGAGAUCCGGAGGAACACCGACGGCGUAGGCAGCGCCCUGGACGACACCUGACGCUGAGGUGCGAAAGCGUGGGGAGCAAACAGG
rnacentral:rRNA from 1 species